rnacentral:rRNA from 1 species
GACAGAGGUGCCGAGCGUUAGGCGGAAUCACUGGGCUUAAAGCGUGUGUAGGCGGGUCGUUAAGUACCUUGUGAAAUCCCCCGGCUCAACCGGGGAACGGCUGGGUAUACUGGCGAUCUUGAGCGACCUAGGGGCAGUCGGAACAAGAGGUGGAGCGGUGAAAUGCGUAGAUAUCACUUGGAACGCCAAUGGUGAAAACAGACUGCUGGGGGUUCGCUGACGCUGAGACACGAAAGCCAGGGGAGCAAACGGG